UGGAGGGGAUGAGAACUCUUGAGCCUGACCCAUCCAUCGGUGGAGGCCAAAGCUGAUUUAAUGAGCCUGAUCC